AGAUUUUCAAUAACUUUAAGGCACCUGUAUGUACCAUUUCAAACUGCUAAUCAGAAAUUUUCAUGAAAACAAAAGAUAGUAAUCAGUGGUGCCAGGAUUGUGCAGAAGUGAAUGCAACUGGAACAUGUUAGUUCAAAAGUAAGGAGAUUUGUUAAAGUAUUCAAUUAACUUAGAUCACAUGAAACCACAUAGGACUUCUAGCACAUUAUCAAAGUCAUCAGACCAAGACCAAUGCAAUCAAACUAAAUAAGUAGGGACCAACCCAUAUAAAUAUCAAUCCUUUCUUUAUACAGUCUCUUACAGGACUAAAUUCACAUACACAAGAAUAGAGUAUCCAGUCAGCACUGCUAAUCAUUUCCUACACCCUGCAUAGUAUCAGCUUCAGUAUUGGUGAGUUACCAACUGACUGGAAAACUUAUCAACAUGUAGGAAUAUGACAACUAUCUGGCCGGAGGCAAUGUCCCACAACUACCAUUAUAUGACAGGCAAAAAGAAAAGACAGAAACGAAAUGGAGGAUGAUAUUCACGAUGGCACGAUACAUACACUCACCUCCCACCAUAAUGAAUACAGCAUUUGCUAGUGUUGUAAAGAAGAAAAAGGAGACAGAGGUAGAAAAAAAUUUUCAUGAGAUAUCUGUAUUCAAAAUUCAAGCAGACACCAUCAUUAGUAUCAAGGCUGUAAGUAUUACCAUUGUACCAACUGAUUUUCCCUUUGUGCCUAGUACCUACUAAGUGGAGUUUUCUUGAACAGAACCAUAUUUCCGUUAAGUGCAAUCAAACCAACUAACAAAUGGAAAAAUAUCUACAAGGCAGAGCAAGUCAUCUACUAAGACGAUGCACUAUAGAAUCCCUCUAAUUGUCAGCGAUAAAUGCACUAUAGACUACCUAGAGAGACAAACAAGGAGUGAAUUGGCUCAAUCAGGCUAUGAUGAAUUUCACAAUAAAGCAGAGAUUUAGGAAUUAUUCAGCAUUAAUAUAGUGGUUGUUACUGUCCAUUCGAAAAACAUAUUACAUAUCUUGCAGUCUUGGAAUAGAAUAAACAUGCUGAAGUAAAUAUUGAAAAAAGAGCUGAUGUGAUCUGUAAACUCUGGCUCUGGUCAAUUAAUUCAAUGAAGCAGUUAGUACAUCUGGCAUUGCUAAUGCCCAUAUUCAUAUUUCCGUUAAGAAAACUAGCGAACAACAAAGAAAGUAGGUUAAAUUGAGUUGUCGAUUUGAAGUUAUUAAAUUUGUAGCUUGGUUCAAGUUGUGGUACACACACAUACACUCUGGUAAUUACUAAACAGACCAAAAGAAAAUGCAAUUUUUUCCAGUAAGAUUAAAUAUCCCCAACUACUAGCGAAGGAAAAUGCCUAAAUAUGCUUUUAUUUUUGGUUCGAAUAUAGAAAGCUUUUCAUUCGGGUCAAUGGUAUCUUUCUCGAGGAUUUAUGCUCAAAGUGGAAUAGCAUACAUUUCCAUGGCAAUGAAGCAACUGUCAUACCAGAAGCCAGGCCAGAGAGUAAGAGAGGAGAAGAACGGGAAUGGACAAACAUGAUAUUUUCAACCUCUUAAAACAACUAGUUACAUUCAUUUUAGUUAAAAAUCAAUAAGAUUUCAAGCUGCAUAAGCAAGCAACAUCCUUCCCUCUUUAAGUCCCAUUGACAAGCAAGAAAAAUUUCAGGCCUAGUCAAUCCCAAUGAAUUUUCUAUUUUUACCUCAAUUUAUUAUUUAUCUUGAAAAGAAGAAGAAGAAAAAGCUAAAGAGCUGUUACCAGUGCAUCUCCUUCCUUGUAACAUCAAAGUCCAUUAUUAAUACAGAUAUUAACUAAGAAAACCAAUUGAAAAAUGAUAAGCAAGAAACUGCUAAAACCCAUGUACACAGAGCCCUGAAUACAUCAAUAAAUCAAUACAUCAGCAUAAACAGGGCAUCACCAAAGCAAUAGAAAUAGGUUCAAUCAUAUAUUUGUUAACCCAGUAUUAUUUCAGUAACAAAAUUUGAUCUUCAAAAUCCAAAAUUAAAGCAUAAAAAAAUCUAAAUAAGUUAAUCAUAAGAUCACAAUCUAAAACCAAAAAGAAAAAAGAAAAG
rnacentral:misc_RNA from 1 species